UUAAAUAUAUUAUGCCGGGCCACGUAUAUGUCAUGAAUCUGCUUUGGAUUAGGGUCAGGAAUGCCAAUUGCGGGUAAAACAAACUGUUCAAUAUAAGGAAGCAACGUAUUUUGGUUAUGGUUCACGAUAGCUGAAGCGAGAUAUUCAAUAGAAUGGAGAGCAAGAGAUAGGACUUGCGGCUUCCAUAAAUACUCUGGAUAUUUUUUGGAGACCUGGCGACCAACAGUCAAACCACCAGUUUCAUGAUCCGAUGUAGAGAUUA